GACGAACGCUGGCGGCGUGCUUAACACAUGCAAGUCGAACGGUAAGGCCCCUUCUGGGGUACACGAGUGGCGAACGGGUGAGUAACACGUGUGCAACCUUCCCUUGACUCUGGAAUAACAGUUGGAAACAGCUGCUAAUACUGGAUAUUCAUCGUCUCCUUCCUGGGGGGUGGUGGAAAACUCCGGCGGUCAGGGAUGGGCUCGCGGCCUAUCAGCUUGUUGGUGAGGUAAUGGCUCACCAAGGCUUCGACGGUUAGCCGGCCUGAGAGGGCGACCGGCCACACUGGGACUGAGAUACGGACCAGACUCCUACGGGAGGCAGCAGUGGGGAAUAUUGCACAAUGGGCGCAAGCCUGGUGCAGCAACGCCGCGUGCGGGAUGACGGCCUUCGGGUUGUAAACCGCUUUCAGUAGGGACGAAGGGUGACUGACGGUACCUACAGAAGAAGGACCGGCUAACUACGUG
rnacentral:rRNA from 1 species